GCGUGCCAUGGUUGCAGUCAAGGGCUCGUGGCUCGACACAUGAGGUGUUGUCAGCUCUGGCCCAUAAACUUCACGAUUUUACCUCGGGACAUAUCAAAAAAUUGAAAAAAUUACACAAUUAAGGGAUGAAGAGGAAGCCUAUGCACGGCCUUAAAAGACUUCUCAUAGUAAGGCUAAAACAAGCUCGGAUACAGAUCAAGCACCAGCAUAUCCAUAUUCAUAUUUAUU
rnacentral:lncRNA from 1 species